AUUGAACGCUGGCGGCAUGCUUUACACAUGCAAGUCGAACGGCAGCGGGUCCUUCGGGAUGCCGGCGAGUGGCGAACGGGUGAGUAAUGCAUCGGAACGUACCGUGUAAUGGGGGAUAACGUAGCGAAAGUUACGCUAAUACCGCAUACGCCCUGAGGGGGAAAGCGGGGGAUCGCAAGACCUCGCGUUAUACGAGCGGCCGAUGUCGGAUUAGCUAGUUGGUGGGGUAAAGGCCCACCAAGGCGACGAUCCGUAGCGGGUCUGAGAGGAUGAUCCGCCACACUGGGACUGAGACACGGCCCAGACUCCUACGGGAGGCAGCAGUGGGGAAUUUUGGACAAUGGGCGCAAGCCUGAUCCAGCCAUGCCGCGUGAGUGAAGAAGGCCUCGG
rnacentral:rRNA from 1 species